UUUUCCUUCUGUCACUGCAAAUGAAACUAAAAGGCAUUCAGAACAUCUUCAUCUGUCAAACAACCUAUAUGUACUAGAUGAGUACUUUUUAAAUGGUGAUUUGCAUACAAAUCGCCCAGGGAUCUUGUUAAAGGGCAUUAUUUGUAGGUCUAGGGUGGGGACCUGUGAUUCCACUUUUCCUGCAAGCUCUCAGGUGACGCUGAAGCUGCCUGGACACAGAGAAGUUUGAAUAUCAGUUGUACUCAGGAAAGAAUCCCUCAAUGGCUAGUCCUGGUUAGAUGUCUUUUGGAUACUUCUGUGAAUUCUGAACAUGGGAUCAACUGAUAUCAUCAGGGAUUGUGUAGCGAAAUUGAUGACAGUGAGAAUAUUGAGGCAAAGACUCCCCCAUCCUACAGGAAGCAUUGGCAAAAUGAAGCCAGGGAGGAUGGAGGCUCUAAUCACAUUACCUUAGGAUCAGUUUUGGAAACAAGAUCUGGCUCACAUCACCAUCCUAAUGUUUCUGUGAAGACUUGGAAAACAUCAUAAUCAUAGUGUUUACCCCAUGAAGCAUUUAGUAACAAAAAUUACAGCUUCCCAGGCUGGGUAGAGGGGUAAAGAACUCUACUGUAAUUGAGGACUAUGGUGUAAAAUAAUUAAAAUAUUUCUAGAGAAAUAGCAGAAGACACUUGAAACAUCUGCU
rnacentral:lncRNA from 10 species